rnacentral:rRNA from 1 species
AUUGAACGCUGGCGGCAGGCCUAACACAUGCAAGUCGAGCGGUAACACAGGGAGCUUGCUCCCGGGUGACGAGCGGCGGACGGGUGAGUAAUGUCUGGGAAACUGCCUGAUGGAGGGGGAUAACUACUGGAAACGGUAGCUAAUACCGCAUAACGUCGCAAGACCAAAGAGGGGGACCUUCGGGCCUCUUGCCAUCAGAUGUGCCCAGAUGGGAUUAGCUAGUAGGGGGGGUAACGGCUCACCUAGGCGACGAUCCCUAGCUGGUCUGAGAGGAUGACCAGCCACACUGGAACUGAGACACGGUCCAGACUCCUACGGGAGGCAGCAGUGGGGAAUAUUGCACAAUGGGCGCAAGCCUGAUGCAGCCAUGCCGCGUGUAUGAAGAAGGCCUUCGGGUUGUAAAGUACUUUCAGCGGGGGGGAAGGCGAUAAGGUUAAUAACCUUGUCGAUUGACGUUACCCGCAGAAGAAGCACCGGCUAACUCCGUGCCAGCAGCCGCCGUAA